UGGAGAUUCCCUCGUAAGGUGCUUGGGUUAGGUUAGGGCGAGGAGUGAGUGGUAAGUUGGUGGGAUGCUUCCAGUUCCAAGUUUAUAAUUCAUUCCAUUACUUUUCUGAUGGUGGUUUUUGGUUUUAAAAGUUCUCU
rnacentral:miRNA from 14 species